UAGAAUUGGACGGGGCCCGCACAAGCGGUGGAGCAUGUUGGUUUAAUUCGAAGCAACGCGAAGAACCUUACCAGGUCUUGACAUCCCGAUGCUAUUUCUAGAGAUAGAAAGUUACUUCGGUACAUCGGUGACAGGUGGUGCAUGGUUGUCGUCAGCUCGUGUCGUGAGAUGUUGGGUUAAGUCCCGCAACGAGCGCAACCCCUAUUGUUAGUUGCCAUCAUUCAGUUGGGCACUCUAGCGAGACUGCCGGUAAUAAACCGGAGGAAGGUGGGGAUGACGUCAAGUCCUCAUGGCCCUUAUGACCAGGGCUACACACGUGCUACAAUGGCCGGUACAAAGAGUUGCAAUACCGCGAGGUGGAGCUAAUCUCAUAAAGCCGGUCUCAGUUCGGAUUGGAGUCUGCAACUCGACUCCAUGAAGUUGGAAUCGCUAGUAAUCGCGGAUCAGCACGCCGCGGUGAAUACGUUCCCGGGCCUU
rnacentral:rRNA from 1 species